GGGACACGUGGUAUCCUGUCUGAAUAUGGGGGGACCAUCCUCCAAGGCUAAAUACUCCUGACUGACCGAUAGUGAACCAGUACCGUGAGGGAAAGGCGAAAAGAACCCCGGCGAGGGGAGUGAAAAAGAACCUGAAACCGUGUACGUACAAGCAGUGGGAGCACAGGUUUACCUGUGUGACUGCGUACCUUUUGUAUAAUGGGUCAGCGACUUAUAUUCUGUAGCAAGGUUAACCGAAUAGGGGAGCCGGAGGGAAACCGAGUCUUAAUUGGGCGUUAAGUUGCAGGGUAUAGACCCGAAACCCGGUGAUCUAGCCAUGGGCAGGUUGAAGGUUGGGUAACACUAACUGGAGGACCGAACCGACUAAUGUUGAAAAAUUAGCGGAUGACCUGUGGCUGGGGGUGAAAGGCCAAUCAAACCGGGAGAUAGCUGGUUCUCCCCGAAAGCUAUUUAGGUAGCGCCUCGUGAAUUCAUCUCCGGGGGUAGAGCACUGUUUCGGCUAGGGGGCCAUCCCGGCUUACCAACCCGAUGCAAACUGCGAAUACCGGAGAAUGUUAUCACGGGAGACACACGGCGGGUGCUAACGUCCGUCGUGAAGAGGGAAACAACCCAGACCGCCAGCUAAGGUCCCAAAGUCAUGGUUAAGUGGGAAACGAUGUGGGAAGGCCCAGACAGCCAGGAUGUUGGCUUAGAAGCAGCCAUCAUUUAAAGAAAGCGUAAUAGCUCACUGGUCGAGUCGGCCUGCGCGGAAGAUGUAACGGGGCUAAACCAUGCACCGAAGCUGCGGCAGCGACGCUUAUGCGUUGUUGGGUAGGGGAGCGUUCUGUAAGCCUGUGAAGGUGUGUCGUGAGGCAUGCUGGAGGUAUCAGAAGUGCGAAUGCUGACAUAAGUAACGAUAAAGCGGGUGAAAAGCCCGCUCGCCGGAAGACCAAGGGUUCCUGUCCAACGUUAAUCGGGGCAGGGUGAGUCGACCCCUAAGGCGAGGCCGAAAGGCGUAGUCGAUGGGAAACGGGUUAAUAUUCCCGUACUUGGUGUUACUGCGAAGGGGGGACGGAGAAGGCUAUGUUGGCCGGGCGACGGUUGUCCCGGUUUAAGCGUGUAGGUGUGUGUUCCAGGUAAAUCCGGUUCACUUUAACACUGAGGCGUGAUGACGAGGCACUACGGUGCUGAAGCAACAAAUGCCCUGCUUCCAGGAAAAGCCUCUAAGCAUCAGGUAACAUCAAAUCGUACCCCAAACCGACACAGGUGGUCAGGUAGAGAAUACCAAGGCGCUUGAGAGAACUCGGGUGAAGGAACUAGGCAAAAUGGUGCCGUAACUUCGGGAGAAGGCACGCUGACACGUAGGUGAAGUGAUUUACUCAUGGAGCUGAAGUCAGUCGAAGAUACCAGCUGGCUGCAACUGUUUAUUAAAAACACAGCACUGUGCAAACACGAAAGUGGACGUAUACGGUGUGACGCCUGCCCGGUGCCGGAAGGUUAAUUGAUGGGGUCAGCGCAAGCGAAGCUCCUGAUCGAAGCCCCGGUAAACGGCGGCCGUAACUAUAACGGUCCUAAGGUAGCGAAAUUCCUUGUCGGGUAAGUUCCGACCUGCACGAAUGGCGUAAUGAUGGCCAGGCUGUCUCCACCCGAGACUCAGUGAAAUUGAACUCGCUGUGAAGAUGCAGUGUACCCGCGGCAAGACGGAAAGACCCCGUGAACCUUUACUAUAGCUUGACACUGAACAUUGAGCCUUGAUGUGUAG
rnacentral:rRNA from 1 species